rnacentral:rRNA from 1 species
AACGAACGCUGGCGGCAGGCCUAACACAUGCAAGUCGAGCGCCCCGCAAGGGGAGCGGCGGACGGGUGAGUAACGCGUGGGAAUAUGCCCUUUGCUACGGAAUAGUCUCGGGAAACUGGGGGUAAUACCGUAUACGCCCUUUGGGGGAAAGAUUUAUCGGCGAAGGAUUAGCCCGCGUUGGAUUAGGUAGUUGGCGGGGUAAUGGCCUACCAAGCCGACGAUCCAUAGCUGGUUUGAGAGGAUGAUCAGCCACACUGGGACUGAGACACGGCCCAGACUCCUACGGGAGGCAGCAGUGGGGAAUCUUAGACAAUGGGGGCAACCCUGAUCUAGCCAUGCCGCGUGAGUGAUGAAGGCCUUAGGGUUGUAAAGCUCUUUCAGCUGGGAAGAUAAUGACGGUACCAGCAGAAGAAGCCCCGGCUAACUCCGUG